UACGUAGGGUGCAAGCGUUAAUCGGAAUUACUGGGCGUAAAGCGUGCGCAGGCGGUUAUGUAAGACAGAUGUGAAACUGCCCGGGCUUAACCUGGGAACUGCAUUUGUGACUGCAUGGCUAGAGUUUGGCAGAGGGGGGUAGAAUUCCACGUGUAGCAGUGAAAUGCGUAGAUAUGUGGAGGAACACCGAUGGCGAAGGCAGCCCCCUGGGUCAAGACUGACG
rnacentral:rRNA from 1 species